GCCGGGCGCGGUGGCGCGCGCCUGUAGUCCCAGCUACUCGGGAGGCUGAGGCAGGAGGAUAGCUUGAGCCCAGGAGUUCUGGACUGUAAUGCGCUAUGCCGGUCGGGUGUCCGCACUAAGUUCGGCAUCAAUAUGGUGACCUCCCGGGAGCGGGGGACCACCAGGUUGACUAAGGAGGGGUGAACCGGCCCAGGUCGGAAACGGAGCAGGUCAAGAGUCAGACACUUAACCGACUGAGACCCCCAGGCUGUCUUAUUCCUGUGAAUAAGUAGUGGGAUCAGUAGUGGGAUCGUGCCU
rnacentral:SRP_RNA from 1 species